UACGUAGGGUCCGAGCGUUGUCCGGAAUUACUGGGCGUAAAGAGCUCGUAGGUGGUUUGUCGCGUUGUUCGUGAAAACUCACAGCUCAACUGUGGGCGUGCGGGCGAUACGGGCAGACUUGAGUACUGCAGGGGAGACUGGAAUUCCUGGUGUAGCGGUGGGAAUGCGCAGAUAUCAGGAGGAACACCGGUGGCGAAGGCGGGGUCUCUGGGCAGUAACUGACGCUGAGGAGCGAAAAGCAUGGGGGAGCGAACAGG
rnacentral:rRNA from 1 species